AGCAGCCGCGGUAAUUCCAGCUCCAAUAGCGUAUAUUAAAGUUGUUGCAGUUAAAAAGCUCGUAGUUGAAUUUCGGGGUUAGUAGGUUGGUCAUGCCUCUGGUAUGUACUGGUCUCACUGAUUCCUCCUUCCUGAUGAACCGUAAUGCCAUUAAUUUGGUGUUGCGGGGAAUUUGGACUGUUACUUUGAAAAAUUAGAGUGUUUAAAGCAAGCUAACGCUUGAAUACAUUAGCAUGGAAUAAUGAAAUAGGACGUUCGAUCCUAUUUUGUUGGUUUCUAGGAUUGACGUAAUGAUUAAUAGGGAUAGUUGGGGGCAUUAGUAUUCAAUUGUCAGAGGUGAAAUUCUUGGAUUUAUUGAAGACUAACUACUGCGAAAGCAUUUGCCAAGGAUGUUUUCAUUAAUCAAGAACGAAAGUUAGGGGAUCGAAGACGAUCAGAUACCGUCGUAGUCUUAACCAUAAACUAUGCCGACUAGGGAUCGGAUGAUGUUAAUUUUUAAUGUACUCAUUCGGCGCCUUAA
rnacentral:rRNA from 1 species